AUUUAUUCAAGGGAGCAAAAUGAUCCUCUGGGUAAACUUGGUGUCCUUACUAGCAGUGCUCAGAGGAGUUCAGUCUGAGAUCCAGUUGGUGGAGUCCGGAGGGGAUGUGAGAAGGCCUGGAGAGUCCCUCCGUCUCUCCUGCCAAGCCUCUGGAUCUGACUUCAGUGUUCUCCCUAUGAGCUGGGUGCGACAGGCUCCAGGGAAAGGCCUGGAAUGGGUGUCCAGCAUAGAUCCAGAGAUGCUUGACUCUACCACUUACUACUCAGACAAAGUCAAGGGACGCUUCACCGUCUCCAGGGACGAUUCCCGCAGCCAGCUGUAUCUGCAAAUGAACAGCCUGAAGCCGGAGGACUCGGCAGUCUAUUACUGUGCAGGAGAGUAUAAUUUGGAGAAAGUGAAUGGAUGCUUCACCAUCUCCAGGGACCACUCCAAAACCCAACUGUAUAUGGAAAUGAACGGCCUGAAGCCAGAGGACACGGCAGCCUAUUACUGUGCAUGA